rnacentral:rRNA from 1 species
GACGAACGCUGGCGGCGUGCUUAACACAUGCAAGUCGAACGGAAAGGCCCUGCUUUUGUGGGGUGCUCGAGUGGCGAACGGGUGAGUAACACGUGAGUAACCUGCCCUUGACUUUGGGAUAACUUCAGGAAACUGGGGCUAAUACCGGAUAGGAGCUCCUGCUGCAUGGUGGGGGUUGAAAGUUUCGGCGGUUGGGGAUGGACUCGCGGCUUAUCAGCUUGUUGGUGGGGUAGUGGCUUACCAAGGCUUUGACGGGUAGCCGGCCUGAGAGGGUGACCGGCCACAUUGGGACUGAGAUACGGCCCAGACUCCUACGGGAGGCAGCAGUGGGGAAUAUUGCACAAUGGGCGGAAGCCUUAUGCAGCAACGCCGCGUGCGGGAUGACGGCCUUCGGGUUGUAAACCGCUUUCGCCUGUGACGAAGCGUGAGUGACGGUAAUGGGUAAAGAAGCACCGGCUAACUACGUG